AUUGAACGCUGGCGGCAUGCCUUACACAUGCAAGUCGAACGGUAACAGGUCUUCGGAUGCUGACGAGUGGCGAACGGGUGAGUAAUACAUCGGAACGUGCCCGAGAGUGGGGGAUAACGAAGCGAAAGCUUUGCUAAUACCGCAUACGAUCUCAGGAUGAAAGCAGGGGACCGCAAGGCCUUGCGCUCACGGAGCGGCCGAUGGCAGAUUAGGUAGUUGGUGGGAUAAAAGCUUACCAAGCCGACGAUCUGUAGCUGGUCUGAGAGGACGACCAGCCACACUGGGACUGAGACACGGCCCAGACUCCUACGGGAGGCAGCAGUGGGGAAUUUUGGACAAUGGGCGCAAGCCUGAUCCAGCCAUGCCGCGUGCAGGAUGAAGGCCUUCGGGUUGUAAACUGCUUUUGUACGGAACGAAAAGACUCUGGUUAAUACCUGGGGCUCAUGACGGUACCGUAAGAAUAAGCACCGGCUAACUACGUGCCAGCCGCCGCGGUAAAAC
rnacentral:rRNA from 1 species